CAGCUGUUAAGGCGCUGGAUGUUAGUCUGCUAUCACUGGAGAGAAUAGCUGCACCAGUUGUCUUCUUUGGACUUUUACUGUCAUCAUGGCAGGAACGCAAGAACUAGGGCUUGGGAGAUUUGUAUUCAGAGACACGGAAGAGCUCUUCAAGCUGUGUCCCAGUGCCUGGAACUGGUAGCAAAGCCCCGAGACAUAUCAAGACAUCAUUCAAAUUGCACAAAGGUCUGUUUGACAAGUUCAUCCAGCCAGGUUUGCUGGAUUGGAAAACAUAAGUAGUCAACCACAUUAAAGACCGCUUGGCAGCCCAGAAUAUAUCAUUUAUCAGGAAGCAGACAGUCAG